rfam:Enterobacter aerogenes KCTC 2190, complete genome.
GGCACUUCAGUUGGCUCUGGGGCGAAAGUACUGAAGACAGACCAAAAGCGGGAAGCCGUUAAGUUUAAGUGUGAUGUGACCGAUCUGUCGCAACGUCGAGCCUGCAGGUUUAAAGGUU